rnacentral:rRNA from 1 species
GGUAUGCGGCGGCGGCGCAUUUCGGGAUAGGGAUUGGGCGAGAGCAGAGGGAGGGAUCCUGCGUCAGCGGGACCGGUACGGCGGCGGCGGCGGGUGGGCAUGCAGCGGUCGUUGCCGGAGCGGUAGUAGGAGUACACGCGGGCUGCAAAGGCAGAGGAGCGACCGGGAUCCGAGUAGCUCGAAGGAGAGGUACGCAACGACGGAGGAGACGCGGCGGUGGGGUACCAGAGGUGGUCGCAGGGACGCCUCAUGUACCCUCGGCGGCGACGGCGGCCCCUGUUCCUAUGUGUACCUUUGGCGGUGUCGGAAUCCGUGCGGACGCCCGAUCGGAUACGGAUGAUAUAGGCCACAAGACCACGUAGGCCACGCUGGAGUUUCUUAUGUAAGAAGAUCGACUCGAAACUCGAGGAGUCCCUGCUACGGACCCCACCUUCGUCAAGUUGACGUGCUACUUCUUCACUCAAUUCCCCAAUUCUGCCAACGCAACCCGCACGGGACGAACGAACGACCACUC